rnacentral:rRNA from 1 species
UGAGGAAUAUUGGUCAAUGGGCGGAAGCCUGAACCAGCCAAGUAGCGUGCAGGAUGACGGCCCUAUGGGUUGUAAACUGCUUUUGAAGGGGAGUAAAGUGAGUGACUUGUCAUUCAUUGCAAGUACCCUUGGAAUAAGGACCGGCUAAUUCCGUGCCAGCAGCCGCGGUAAUACGGAAGGUCCGGGCGUUAUCCGGAUUUAUUGGGUUUAAAGGGAGCGUAGGCGGCCUUUCAAGCGUGUUGUGAAAUGCAGUGGCCCAACCACUGGAUUGCAGCGCGAACUGGGAGGCUUGAGAGCGCACGACGCAGGCGGAAUUUGUGGUGUAGCGGUGAAAUGCUUAGAUAUCACGAAGAACCCCGAUUGCGAAGGCAGCUUGCGGGAGCGCAUCUGACGCUGAAGCUCGAAAGUGCGGGAAUCAAACAGGAUUAGAUACCCUGGUAGUCCGCACGGUAAACGAUGGAUGCCCGUUCUGCGGCCUUAUGGCCGCGGGACCAAGCGAAAGCAUUAAGCAUCCCACCUGGGGAGUACGCCGGCAACGGUG